UUAUGAAAGAUUGAUGCCUCUUUGAAGCAAUCAUAUGCCUUUUAUGCUGCAUUUGAUGGAAUUCCAGGGCUACAGGCAUCUGGAGCAUAUAUAUUUUCCAUCCAAAUGGUAAAUAUUCUAUUGGCUCUCAGAAGCAGAUUCGUGACGAUAGAGUUGAGUGGGAUCUUGAAGUGAAUCAACUUAUUGCAUGAAACU